rnacentral:misc_RNA from 1 species
AACAUGAGGGAUAUAUAAAAUAAUCGUUUCUUCAGUAUAUACACAAAUUAAAUAAUCGUCCCACUUUUUACAUUUGUGUUGCAUUUUUAUCGUAUGCAUGAAGUAUACAUGUACAUAUUUCCUUCAGAAUUUAUGAGAAACUAGAAAUUAGUAGGUGAAUAAUCUAUUUUGAUCCACUCAUCUGCUAUAACCAUUGCACGGCUGCACCAUGUAGUAGUUUUUCCCAUAUCAUCAGUGCUUCUUGGCUUCUCUUUCAGCAGCUCUGACAGCUCUGUCAAAAGCAUCCCAUCCAUAUUUAUCAACAUAUUGCACAACCGAUUUCCUGGCGUCAAGGCUCAUCAUCUGGAGAACCUUCCUUUGAUCCUCCGAAUAGUUUCCGUUCACUCUGCCGCCGAUCUUCACGUACUUCCGGACCAGAUUCUCGUAAAUAUAUGCAGCCCCAUUGAAAAUAGGCAACACCAACCACAUACAAAACAGGAGCUUUACGUAUGGCCAGAAAGGAAGCCAGAUUAGUAUUCUCCAGCAGGAUAACUCAAAUAGGGUUGUGAACGAAUAUAUUAUCCAAUACGUUAGCCAUUGCUGAUCAUCAAGCGUUGAAGGGCUUUCGAUAGCUCGCAAGGAUGCAUAUCUGUUUAUCCAUAUGAAAACUUUCAUGCAUAUAUAUAUGUAACAAAAUUAAAGAAUUAUAAAUCUCAAUAAUCCACUUACAAUGGGAAAAGAAGCAUGAUUCCUGGCCUGGUUCAAUAUAAAAAAUAUCAGAUUUUGCACUAUACACAAAAAGAAACUAGAUGUGACACUUGAGUAAAAGAAAAAUCAUGAAGAUAGUCGCUGUAAAUACCCCACUAGGGCGUCCAAACGCUUAGCAACAACUCCAAGAACACCCAUGUUGAAAUUAAAGCUAUAGCUCUCUCCUGAGAUCUACUCGAUCAAGCAAUGGAAAGAUUUCUGGAGAUAAUUAACGAAUGCAAAAAAGAUGAAUGGAAGGAUGAGAAAAUCCAGAAAGGUCUUUAUGGGUCCGUGUUGCGCGUGAAACCAAAGUAAAG